rnacentral:rRNA from 1 species
CUCAAAUCAGGUAGGAGUACCCGCUGAACUUAAGCAUAUCAAUAAGCGGAGGAAAAGAAACCAACCGGGAUUGCCUUAGUAACGGCGAGUGAAGCGGCAAAAGCUCAAAUUUGAAAUCUGGUACCUUCGGUGCCCGAGUUGUAAUUUGGAGAGGGCAACUUUGGGGCCGUUCCUUGUCUAUGUUCCUUGGAACAGGACGUCAUAGAGGGUGAGAAUCCCGUGUGGCGAGGAGUGCGGUUCUUUGUAAAGUGCCUUCGAAGAGUCGAGUUGUUUGGGAAUGCAGCUCUAAGUGGGUGGUAAAUUCCAUCUAAAGCUAAAUAUUGGCGAGAGACCGAUAGCGAACAAGUACAGUGAUGGAAAGAUGAAAAGAACUUUGAAAAGAGAGUGAAAAAGUACGUGAAAUUGUUGAAAGGGAAGGGCAUUUGAUCAGACAUGGUGUUUUGUGCCCUCUGCUCCUUGUGGGUAGGGGAAUCUCGCAUUUCACUGGGCCAGCAUCAGUUUUGGUGGCAGGAUAAAUCCAUAGGAAUGUAGCUUGCCUCGGUAAGUAUUAUAGCCUGUGGGAAUACUGCCAGCUGGGACUGAGGACUGCGACGUAAGUCAAGGAUGCUGGCAUAAUGGUUAUAUGCCGCCCGU